AUUGAACGCUGGCGGCAUGCUUUACACAUGCAAGUCGAACGGCAGCACGGGGGCAACCCUGGUGGCGAGUGGCGAACGGGUGAGUAAUGCAUCGGAACGUAUCCUUAAGUGGGGGAUAACGCAUCGAAAGAUGCGCUAAUACCGCAUAAUCUCUGAGGAGAAAAGACAGGGGAUCGCAAGACCUUGCGCUUUUGGAGCGGCCGAUGUCUGAUUAGCUAGUUGGUGAGGUAAAGGCUUACCAAGGCUUCGAUCAGUAGCUGGUCUGAGAGGACGACCAGCCACACUGGGACUGAGACACGGCCCAGACUCCUACGGAGGCAGCAGUGGGGAAUUUUGGACAAUGGGGAAACCCUGAUCCAGCCAUGCCGCGUGAGUGAAGAAGGCCUUCGG
rnacentral:rRNA from 1 species